GGGGAAUUAGCUCAGUGGUAGAGCGUGUGCUUCGCAUGUACAAGGUCCCGAGUUCAAUCCUUGGAUUCUCCA
rfam:Nematocida parisii ERTm3 unplaced genomic scaffold supercont1.2, whole genome shotgun sequence.